rnacentral:piRNA from 1 species
GUGGCUUACUGUUCAUUAUUAAUGGA